rnacentral:lncRNA from 1 species
ACAUAGAUUUCAUUCUAGCUUCUCUCAUCCACUACGAGCUUAUGUACUAACUUGAACGUUAUAAAGUACCUAUAACUGCAAGUACACUCGCCUCCAUGUCUCAUCUCCACCUUAGAUUAUGGCAUCCACUUGAAUUCAAAGAGAAUUAUUUUCACCGAUCCAUGAGUCCUCCUCAAACUCUGAUUACUAUUUAGAACAAAAAUUAAAGUGAGCAAUAUCAACCAUCAACCAUCGAUAAAUAAAUCAAUAAUCGAUUAAUCAUGAGUGAUUAUUAUAUAACCUUUUAUUUUUCCACUUUACUGACUGCUGAUUCUAGAGUAACCAAUUCCUGCAAGAUUUUUUAAGCUUCAAUUUGAUGUCAGCAUAAAAAUGAUUUAUUAAUUAAUGAAAUUACGCUCCCACUAAACUUAUUUCCAAUUGCCCCAUGGAUUAAUGGUACAAUGUUCUACUACUCUAUAUGCUGGUUAGUUUAAUCACCACUAAUUCAUCUUAUUUUAUGUAGCAACGAUGACGACUUUGUCAUUAUUUGUGAAUUUAUCGAUUGCUUGUUUUGACCUAGUGGUGAAGGAAUAUUUUCAUUUUUCUUCAAAAAAAAAAUCCAAGAGAAAACAAAUUAAAAUCACCAAUUCAAGUUCACCUACUCUUUUCCAAACAUGGAGCAGAAAAGGAAAUGGAGAAAAAAUGGAAAAUAGUAAGUGUACUUAUUUGGACCCAAACUCAAAACAUAUAAAAAAAAUAAUUGAAUACAUAUAUGAACAAAAAAAAAUUAAAGUUAAAAUAACUAAAUGAUGUGACAAUAUUAUUUUUGUUUAAUUUUUUUUAUUUGUGAAUGCACGCUUAAAUAUUUUUCUCUUAGAUUUGUGUCCAAUUAAAUAUUUCUCGAGUUUCCAUAUAGUUUACCACUUGUGUGUAGUUUGUCACAUUCCUUACUUUUAUUGGACACAUAGUUUUAUAUUUAAGAUCAAUUCCAUAAGUCUCCAAAGAGCAUGCAUAAUAUAAUGUAUAUUUUCAUAAUAUAAAAACUUAUUACUUAAAAGUUAAGGCUGCCCAUAUCAAAGAAAAAAAGUUAUUUAACUAAGGCUGCCCUAGAGGGUCAAAUAUACUAUAAUUGAUUGAAACUCUUGCUAAAUUUCAAUCCGUACGUAAAGAAUACUAUAUAGUAGAAUACAACUCACAAAAGUAACCACACGAGCUUAUAACUUUCUUUCUUUGUNNNNNNNNNNNNNNNNNNNNNNNNNNNNNNNNNNNNNNNNNNNNNNNAUUUUUUAUAUGGACAUAAAGCAUGUCGAUACAUAAAAGAAUAGUUAACGAAGCAUUUGGUGACAUUUGCAAAUUUAAAUUAAAUAAAAGCAUGUUUACCAUUGUUGGCAGUCACAAUCUCAAUCAUGCAAAACCUCACAUUCUUGACUACAAAUCAACGAAGAGA